rnacentral:rRNA from 1 species
UACGUAGGGGGCUAGCGUUGUCCGGAUUUAUUGGGCGUAAAGAGCGUGUAGGCGGCCAGGUAGGUCUGCUGUGAAAACUCGAGGCUCAACCUCGAGACGUCGGCGGAAACCAUCUGGCUAGAGUCCGGAAGAGGAGAGUGGAAUUCAUGGUGUAGCAGUGAAAUGCGUAGAGAUCAUGAGGAAGACCAGUGGCGAAGGCGGGUCUCUGGACAGUUCCUGACACUGAGGCACGAAGGCCAGGGGAGCAAACGGG